rnacentral:rRNA from 1 species
GUAGGUGGCAAGCGUUGUCCGGAAUUAUUGGGCGUAAAGCGCGCGCAGGCGGUUCUUUAAGUCUGAUGUGAAAGCCCACGGCUCAACCGUGGAGGGUCAUUGGAAACUGGAGAACUUGAGUACAGAAGAGGAAAGCGGAACUCCACGUGUAGCGGUGAAAUGCGUAGAGAUGUGGAGGAACACCAGUGGCGAAGGCGGCUUUCUGGUCUGUAACUGACGCUGAGGCGCGAAAGCGUGGGGGAGCAAACAGGAUUAGAUACCCUGGUAGUCCACGCCGUAAACGAUGAGUGCUAAGUGUUAGGGGGUUUCCGCCCCUUAGUGCUGCAGCUAACGCAUUAAGCACUCCGCCUGGGAGUACGGCCGCAAGGCUG